ACGGAAGGCAGCAGUGGGGAAUAUUGCACAAUGGGCGAAAGCCUGAUGCAGCGACGCCGCGUGAGUGAAGAAGUAUCUCGGUAUGUAAAGCUCUAUCAGCAGGGAAGAAAAUGACGGUACCUGACUAAGAAGCCCCGGCUAACUACGUGCCAGCAGCCGCGGUAAUACGUAGGGGGCAAGCGUUAUCCGGAUUUACUGGGUGUAAAGGGAGCGUAGACGGUUUGGCAAGUCUGAAGUGAAAUGCGGGGGCUCAACUCCUGAACUGCUUUGGAAACGGUCGAACUAGAGUGCAGGAGAGGUAAGUGGAAUUCCUAGUGUAGCGGUGAAAUGCGUAGAUAUUAGGAGGAACACCAGUGGCGAAGGCGGCUUACUGGACUGUAACUGACGUUGAGGCUCGAAAGCGUGGGGAGCAAACAGGAUUAGAUACCCUGGUA
rnacentral:rRNA from 1 species